UACGUAGGGGGCUAGCGUUGUCCGGAAUCAUUGGGCGUAAAGCGCGUGUAGGCGGUCCGGUAAGUCCGCUGUGAAAGUCGAGGGCUCAACCCUCGAAUGCCGGUGGAUACUGUCGGGCUUGAGUACGGGAGAGGCGAGUGGAAUCCCUGGUGUAGCGGUGAAAUGCGCAGAUAUCAGGAGGAACACCGAUUGCGAAGGCAGCUCGCUGGAACGUUACUGACGCUGAGACGCGAAAGCGUGGGGAGCAAACAGG
rnacentral:rRNA from 1 species